rnacentral:rRNA from 1 species
GACGAACGCUGGCGGCGUGCUUAACACAUGCAAGUCGAACGCUGAAGCUCAGCUUUUGUUGGGUGGAUGAGUGGCGAACGGGUGAGUAACACGUGAGUAACCUGCCCCCUUCUUUGGGAUAACGCCCGGAAACGGGUGCUAAUACUGGAUAUUCACUGGUCUUCGCAUGGGGGUUGGUGGAAAGGGUUUUUCUGGUGGGGGUUGGGCUCGCGGCCUAUCAGCUUGUUGGUGGGGUGAUGGCCUACCAAGGCUUUGACGGGUAGCCGGCCUGGGAGGGUGACCGGUCACAGUGGGACUGAGAUACGGCCCAGACUACUACGGGAGGCAGCAGUGGGGAAAAUUGCAGAAUGGGCGCAAGCCUGAUGCAGCGACGCCGCGUGAGGGAUGGAGGCCGUCGGGUUGUGAACCUCUUUCGCUCAUGGUCAAGCCGCAACAAUGGUUGUGGUGAGGGUAGUGGGUAAAGAAGCGCCGGCUAACUACGUG